GCCGGGUGUGGUGGCUCACACCUGUAAUCCCAGCACUUUGGGAGGCCGAGGUGGGUGGAUCACCUGAGGUCAGGAGUUCAAGACCAGCCUGACCAACAUGGAGAAACCUCGUCUCUA
rnacentral:SRP_RNA from 1 species